UUUAUCUGCCUUGUUAAACUGUCUGAGCACAGAAAAGCAAAGGACAGAUGCACCAACAGGUCAGAACGUCACUUUAUUUAAACAAACAGCCUCCUGGUCAGAGAGCGUGUCCUAUUCUCAGUCUCCUCAUGACGACUGGACCCCGACUCUCACCUCUCCUACUUUCCUUUGUUUAGUCAUCCUCCUCCUGGAUUUCCUUCCACCUCAUCAGCAGUAAUGACUGAUGCUGACCUCAUCAGUCUCAUCACCACCCUCUUCUCCAACUGUGGUCUCAGAAAAAGUCCACUAGUUUUCACAAACCCGAGAAGUUACUUUCCUGCAAAGUCCACACAUGAAUUCAGAAUAAAAAAACAACAACAGAGUUUUCAAAAUCUCCUUAAAGUCAUUUAAAGGAGAAAUAAGUAAACUACUUAAUGUUUAUGCUUCCUUGUUUACUUUCCUGCUGAGUCAUUUAACAGGGAGUGUCCUUUUUUCCAGCUGUAAAAAGAGAAACUGUGUCUCUGCUGCUCCGAUGAGGAGCUCUGUGACUGGUUUUGUGAGACUGCUAUUCACACUUGAAUGAGAAUGAAGCAACACUGCUUUGGAUCUUCCCUCAUCCUUACAUGCAGCUGUGGAUAAUCUGUUGAAGAACCCACAUAUUUCAUGUCAUCUGGUGGAGCUUUAUCAAAUAUGUGCUUCAGUGUGAAAUAUGAUGUCGUUGACUAAAUCACAAGAAAUCCAAGACCCAGCCUGAUUGUUUGAGGGAUAAUUGGAUGCCAACUGAAUCAGAGUAAACUCAGCUUCUCUGGGAUCUUUAGAAAAUGAGCUCAUUAUGAGACUCUGAUGUUGAAACCCACAGAAAACAGAAGAUGGAUGCUGUGAAGAUAUUCUGCUGGACUCUGGGGUGUGUCUGCCUCCUGCUUCCUGUAACUGCAGAUCAGAAAAUCAUCACAGCCGAGUCUGGACAGAACGUCACGCUGCCGUCUCGAGCUCCAAAUGAGAACAAAACCAUCACAGUAGUAGAGUGGAGCAGAACUGAUCUGGAGUCAGAACAUGUGCUUUUGUACCGAGAUGAGCAGUUUGAACCAGAAGAGCAGCAUCCAUCUUUUAA